UCUGUGUGUGUGUACGUGAGAAUGUAUGUGGGUUUUUUUUCUGGGGGAAGAUAAUGACACCUUGUUGGACAUCAUGCAUUCUUGUCUGCAAUCACAAUUUUUUUUUCAGCCUCUCCCACACUUUUGUUUUUGUAGAUGUUUGUCUUUUCUAAAAAGAAA